UACGUAGGGGGCAAGCGUUGUCCGGAUUUACUGGGUGUAAAGGGCGCGUAGGUGGGUUUGUAAGUCAGAGGUGAAAUCCUGCGGCUUAACUGUAGAACUGCCUCUGAUACUGCAAAUCUUGAGUUCAGAAGAGAGAAGCGGAAUUCCAGGUGUAGUAGUGAAAUACGUAGAUAUCUGGAAGAACACCAGUGGCGAAGGCGGCUUCUUGGUCUGUAACUGACACUGAGACGCGAAAGCUUGGGGAGCAAACAGG
rnacentral:rRNA from 1 species